UGAGCCGGCCUGGUGGCCGCGGCGUGGCGUGACCACGUCGAGGAAGGUCGGGGCUCCGAAGGACAGGGUGCUGGUGCGAGCCAGGACGGGGUGACCUGUUGGUUCAGGGCAACAGAGAGCAGACCGCCGAUGGCCCGGGCAACCGGGCACAGGCAAGGGUGAAACGGUGCGGUAAGAGCGCACCAGCGUCGGGAGCGAUCCCGGCGGCUUGGCAACCCCCACCCGGAGCAAGGUCAAACGUGGGACGGCCGGCCCGGCCAGUGUCCCCAGGUAGACCGCACAGAUGGAUGGCCACCCCCUCGGCAACGAGGGACAUAACCCCGCCUACAAGCCGGCUCACCGU
rnacentral:RNase_P_RNA from 1 species